UACAGAGGUGGCAAGCGUUGUUCGGAAUUACUGGGCGUAAAGGGCGCGUAGGCGGCCUUCUAAGUCAGACGUGAAAUCCCCCGGCUUAACCUGGGAACUGCGUCUGAUACUGGAGGGCUUGAGUGCGGGAGAGGGAUGUGGAAUUCCAGGUGUAGCGGUGAAAUGCGUAGAUAUCAGGAGGAACACCGGUGGCGAAGGCGGGUCUCUGGGCAGUAACUGACGCUGAGGAGCGAAAGCGUGGGGAGCGAACAGG
rnacentral:rRNA from 1 species